rnacentral:rRNA from 1 species
AACGAACGCUGGCGGCAUGCCUAACACAUGCAAGUCGAACGAAGUCCUUCGGGGCUUAGUGGCGCACGGGUGCGUAACGCGUGGGAAUCUGCCAUUGGGUUCGGAAUAACAGUGGGAAACUACUGCUAAUACCGGAUGAAGUCUUCGGACCAAAGAUUUAUCGCCAAAGGAUGAGCCCGCGUAGGAUUAGGUAGAUGGUGGGUAAGGGCUCACCAAGCCGAUGAUCCUUAGCUGGUCUGAGAGGAUGGUCAGCCCCACUGGGACUGCGACACGGCCCAGACUCCUACGGGAGGCAGAAGUGGGGAAUAUUGGACAAUGGGCGAAAGCCUGAUCCAGCAAUGCCGCGUGAGUGAUGAAGGCCUUAGGGUUGUAAAGCUCCUUUACCAGGGAUGAUAAUGACAGUACCUGGAGAAUAAGCUCCGGCUAACUCCGUGCCAGCCGCCGCGGUAACAC